rnacentral:lncRNA from 1 species
AGCAUUAUCACGGAUUCUAGGAGGUACAUUCAGUCCAAUCUUGUCACUUUUAUUCUUCCAAUCUCCUUGAUGGUUCCAACCUUGGUUUCCUUGACUACCGGUCCAAAACCCCCCUGGUUAUACAAGUAGUUAGCCUCUUCCUCAGUGUUUGAUUCAUCUCUCUUACCAUGGGACCCCACAACUUUUACCUUUUCUAUAUUCC